AGUUAGUCGGACAACGCACGUCCACAAGGGGCGAGUUAGUCGGACAACGCACGUCCACAAGGGGCGAGUUAGUCGGACAACGCUACAACAUACGUCCACAAGGGGUGAGUUAGUCGGACAACGCACGUCCACAAGGGGUGAGUUAGUCGGACAACGCUACAACAUACGUCUUCAGGGGGUGAGUUAGUCGGACAACGCUACAACAUACGUCUUCAGGGGGUGAGUUAGUCGGACAACGCUACAACAUACGUCCACAAGGGGUGAGUUAGUCGGACAACGCACGUCCACAAGGGGUGAGUUAGUCGGACAAUGCUACAACAUACGUCCACAAGGGGUGAGUUAGUCAGACAACGCUACAACAUACGUCCACAAGGGGCGAGUUAGUCGGACAACGCACGUCCACAAGGGGCGAAUUAGUCGGACAACGCACGUCCACAAGGGGCGAGUUAGUCGGACAACGCACGUCCACAAGGGGCGAGUUAGUCGGACAACGCACGUCCACAAGGGGCGAGUUAGUCGGACAACGCUACAACAUACGUCCACAAGGGGCGAGUUAGUCGGACAACGCUACAACAUACGUCCACAAGGGGUGAGUUAGUCGGACAACGCACGUCCACAAGGGGUGAGUUAGUCGGACAACGCACGUCCACAAGGGGUGAGUUAGUCGGGCAACGCUACAACAUAUGUCCACAAGGGGUGAGUUAGUCGGACAACGCACGUCCACAAGGGGUGAGUUAGUCGGACAACGCUACAACACACGUCCACAAGGGGUGAGUUAGUCUGACAACGCUACAACAUACGUCCACAAGGGGUGAGUUAGUCGGACAACGCUACAAAAUACGUCCACAAGGGGUGAGUUAGUCGGACAAUGCUACAACAUACGUCCACAAGGGGUGAGUUAGUCGGACAACGCACGUCCACAAGGGGCGAGUUAGUCGGACAACGCACGUCCACAAGGGGCGAGUUAGUCGGACAACGCACGUCCACAAGGGGCGAGUUAGUCGGACAACGCACGUCCACAAGGGGCGAGUUAGUCGGACAACGCACGUCCACAAGGGGCGAGUUAGUCGGACAACGCUACAACGCACGUCCACAAGGCACGAGUUAGUCGGACAACGCUACAAUAUACGUCCACAAGGGGUGAGUUAGUCGGACAACGCACGUCCACAAAGGGUGAGUUAGUCGGACAACGCACGUCCACAAGGGGUGAGUUAGUCGGACAACGCUACAACAUACGUCCACAAGGGGUGAGUUAGUCGGACAACGCUACAAUAUACGUCCACAAGGGGUGAGUUAGUCGGACAACGCACGUCCACAAGGGGUGAGUUAGUCGGACAACGCACGUCCACAAGGGGUGAGUUAGUCGGACAACGCUACAACAUACGUCCACAAGGGGUGAGUUAGUCGGAAAACGCUACUAUAUACGUCCACAAGGGGUGAGUUAGUCGGACAACGCUACAACAUACUUCCACAAGGGGUGAGUUUGUCUGACAACGCUACAAUAUACCCACACAAUGGGUGAGUUAGUCGGACAACACACGUCCACAAGGGGUGAGUUAGUCGGACAACGUUACAACAUACG
rnacentral:lncRNA from 1 species